AUGGCAGGCUCUUACGCAAGGUCUAGUUGGCCGGACCUCCCGACGGAUCUCCUCCUCGGAAUCCUCCAACGCCUCCAGCUCCUGGAAUCCCUCGCUUUUGCGUCAGUCUGUGCAUCGUGGCGCCGGGCCGUGGCGUCCGCCGGCGUCCCAUCUUCUUGCAGACCGUGGCUCAUGUCUUGGACCCAUCCCGUGGAGGAGGAGAGUCAACCCAACAAGAUUAACUGCAGCUCGGUCGUGACCUGCAAGUUCCGCCAUCUCCUGGACGUCAAUAGGUCUUACAGUAUCAAUUUUCCCGAGGGUUGUUUCGUCGUGUGUGCCGGAGCUUCUCAUGGAUGGCUGGUUCUGGUAAAUCAACUCUCCAAUCUACUUCUCUUCAACCCCAUUACAUCGGACAUGGUUCCUUUACCGCCGAUCACCGACUUCUCUUUCGUGGAGGCAACAUAUGAUGAACAAGGAAGCAUAGAAGGUUAUCGUCUUUUUAACGAUGCAUUAUAUGAUGCGAAAUAUCUGGCGACAUGGUUCUUCCAGAAGGCAGUGCUGUCCUGUGCUCCAUCGAAAGAUGGUGACUGCAUUGCCAUGAUCAUCCAUUAUGAUAGCAAUUGGCUCUCUUUUGUUAGGGCAGGAGAGGGCAAGUGGCAGGUGGUCUCAACUAUAGCUAGAAGGGAACAAGAUCGGUAUGCGGACUGCGCAUACCACAACGGAAGGUUUUACACCGUGACGUACCAUGGAAUAGUAGAGAAAUACAAUCUUGAUAGAUCGAGUGGACCAACAAAGGAGGCGAUCAUCGCGCAUAGAACCUAUUCAUGUGUUCUUAGUAGGCACUAGGUGUCCACACCAUGGGGUGAUCUCUUGCAAAUCCGGGCCAUUUCUGCAAACCGUGUGGAUCGUGUUAGGUUUCUAAUUGGCAAGGUUCAUCCCGAAGGAUGCCAGAAGGUAUCGCCGGACGACUUGGCGGAGCAUGCAAUAUUUGUUGGACUGAAUCACUCGGCAUGUUUGUCCUCAAAGAAAUUCCCUGGUUUAAGGCCUCGAUGCAUCUAUUUCUCAUCUCCCUGGAUGACAAUGACGUUUGAUUUAGUUGGCCGUUGCCGUGGAUGGGGAGGUGUAAGCUUAUAUGACAUAGAAACAAGGGUUUUUGAGCAUGCUUUUCCCUUUGAAGGGAUGCAUAAAAGUUGGAGGGUGUGUCCUUCAGAGAUAUGGAUCACACCGAAUAUGUAA
rnacentral:rRNA from 1 species